CCAAGUGUGCUUGACUUGGCAGAACGAAAAUUGGAACAACUUGGUGAAGAUUAGCAGGGCCCAACACAAGGAUGACAUGCAAUUCAUCAAACGUUCCCUGUUUUA